UAGAAAGAGCAAGAAUUUGGCUGAAAAUAAUCAGGAUCCAUUUGAUGAUGUAACAGAUAAUAUAAAGAGAGCAUUGAACAAACAGACUAAGGGCGACUUCUGUCGUGGUUUACACAAAAUCAAAAUUGAUCGUUUUGUUGAUGAGUUGUUGCAUCUAAUUUUACUCUUUUUGAAAAAUGCACAAGGAAAACAGUUACACCAUCCCUUAGCUGAGUACAUCAACAAGAAGCUUGAACAAGAUGGUUGUACUCUUAUUGAAGAUCUUAGAGAGAACUUACCAGAUGAAGUUACUGUGGCACAUGCUGUUGAUGCUUGGAGGCUUGCAUAUGAGAAAAGCGACUACCACUCAAACUAUUCUUGAUUAUGUCCACAAUGGAAGAUGGAGUCUUUUUUUAAGCUAAUACAUGGCACUUAAAAUCUCAUUCACAUUUAUAUUAAACUAGGGUGCAUCAUACAACAGUAGUUAAUAAAAUAGAAAGAAGCACAAGCCAAUGUAAAACGCAUGUGUAGUUUAUUUGUUAAAAUGAAAAUAUUUAAUUCAUUACUAUUUGACGACCAAUUAUGUAACAAUCAAUCUUUUUGCACUAAUACAUAUUUUAAACUGUAAAAACUUUUUAUUGCCAGUUUUUCUUUAUUUUUAUUGAAUUUCGUUAUGCAUCGUACACCAGUCCUUUCUUUCAUUUUUCCAUUUGCAGGAAAGUCAUCUUCGAGCAAUGCAAUAUAUUCCUAAUAUCAUAAAUAUUAAAUGUUUUCUUUUUGAAAAGUUUCAUCGUCGCUUAGAUCGAAGCGAAGCUGAAAAGUUCACCGUUGAACUUCUAUAUAAAAGAGGCCGGAAGAAAAACAACAUGUCAAGGCUUUAAUCCAUAGCUUCAUUUUGGCUUGGAAAACCAUUAGAA